rnacentral:rRNA from 1 species
UACGUAGGGUGCAAGCGUUGUCCGGAAUUAUUGGGCGUAAAGAGCUCGUAGGCGGUUUGUCACGUCGGAUGUGAAACCCUGAGGCUCAACCUCAGGCCUGCAUUCGAUACGGGCGGACUAGAAUUCGGCAGGGGAGACUGGAAUUCCUGGUGUAGCGGUGAAAUGCGCAGAUAUCAGGAGGAACACCGGUGGCGAAGGCGGGUCUCUGGGCCGAUAUUGACGCUGAGGAGCGAAAGCGUGGGGAGCAAACAGG